AAGUCGUAACAAGGUAACCGUAGGUGAACCUGCGGUUGGAUCAUUAUUGAUUUAACUAUGAUUUUUUUUUUUUGGUUUUGAUGCCUAAAUUUCUUGGGCUCCCAAAAAAGGAUCAUUUUUAACACUAUGUGCAAUGUAAUUGUUUUUUGGGCCUUUAGGAAUUUUUUUUUUCUUUAGGCCCUAAAUUCUUAUAAACCCCUAUUAAAUUUUGACUGAUUAAACCAAGAUUUUUAUAAAUCAAAAUACAACUUUUGACAACGGAUCUCUUGGCUCUC
rnacentral:misc_RNA from 1 species